UACGGAGGGUGCAAGCGUUAUCCGGAUUCACUGGGUUUAAAGGGUGCGUAGGUGGGCAGGUAAGUCAGUGGUGAAAUCUCCGGGCUUAACCCGGAAACUGCCAUUGAUACUAUCUGUCUUGAAUACCGUGGAGGUGAGCGGAAUAUGUCAUGUAGCGGUGAAAUGCUUAGAUAUGACAUAGAACACCAAUUGCGAAGGCAGCUCACUACACGAAUAUUGACACUGAGGCACGAAAGUGUGGGGAUCAAACAGG
rnacentral:rRNA from 1 species